rnacentral:rRNA from 1 species
UAAGAUCUUUUAAAAAAAAUUAUGCUGUUAUCCCUAAGGUAAUUAAUUUUAUUAAUUUUAAUUUUAAGAUAUUAUAUUCAAAAAUUAUUGUAAAAUUUUAAAAUUUUUCAAUUACCCCAAUUAAUUUCAUUAACAAAAUUUUAUAAAAUAAUUAUUAUUAAAUCUAAUUAUUAAAUAAAAUUCUAUAGGGUCUUGUCGUCUUUUAUAUUUAUUUAAGUUUUUUUACUUAAAUAAAAAUUUGAAUUUUUAUUUAAUUUAUAUAGCUUAUAUUUCAUUUAAUCAUUCAUUCUAGUUUUUAAUUGAAAAACAAAUUAUUAUGCUACCUUUGUACAGUUAUUAUUACUGCAGUCAUUCA